rnacentral:rRNA from 1 species
AUUGAACGCUGGCGGCAGGCCUAACACAUGCAAGUCGAGCGGAGCGGCGGACGGGUGAGUAAUGCCUAGGAAUGUGCCUGGUCGUGGUGGAUAACGUCCGGAAACGGGCGCUCAUACCGCAUACUAUCAGCAGAGCCUAGGUGGAAAUAGUUAUUGGGUGGGGUAAAGGCCUACCAAGGCGACGAUCCGUAACUGGUCUGAGAGGAUGAUCAGUCACACUGGAACUGAGACACGGUCCAGACUCCUACGGGAGGCAGCAGUGGGGAAUAUUGGACAAUGGGCGAAAGCCUGAUACAGCCAUGCCGCGUGUGUGAAGAAGGUCUUCGGAUUGUAAAGCACUUUAAGCUGGGAGGCGUUACCAACAGAAUAAGCACCGGCUAACUCCGUGCCAGCAGCCGCGGUAAUUC